rnacentral:lncRNA from 1 species
AAUUAAAAUUUAUUCAUCCUUUCAAAUUGUAAAGGUAUUAUUAGUCAAAAGUUUCAAUAAUAAACUAAACUCAAUUCAGCAAAAAUGUAUUUGGGUGCAGUUGUUUCUUUGUUAGGCGCUCUAGCUCUCUUUAAAAAACUAGAUGUUGAUAAUUCUUCUAUCAAAAGCUCUUUAAAAUACUCAAAAUUUAUUUUCUAAC